rnacentral:rRNA from 1 species
GAUGAACGCUGGCGGCGUGCUUAACACAUGCAAGUCGAACGUGAGGGGGAGCAAUCUCCUGAAAGUGGCGAACGGGUGAGUAACACGUAGGUGACCUGCCUUGGAGUGGGGGAUAACAGUUGGAAACGGCUGCUAAGACCGCAUAGCUUGAGUAAAGCGGGAGCUUUGCUUGAGAAAGCUCUGGUGCUCUGAGAGGGGCCUGCGUCCGAUUAGCUAGUUGGUGGGGUAAAGGCCUACCAAGGCGAUGAUCGGUAGCUGGUCUGAGAGGACGAUCAGCCACACGGGAACUGAGAAACGGUCCCGACUCCUACGGGGGGCAGCAGUGAGGAAUAUUGGGCAAUGGGCGGAAGCCUGACCCAGCAACGCCGCGUGGAGGAUGAAGGCCUUCGGGUUGUAAACUCCUUUUAUGGGGGAAGAGAGUGGACGGUACCCUAGGAAUAAGUCACGGCUAACUACGUGCCAGCCGCCGCAGUAAAAC